CUGACUACUUUAGCUUGCUAGAGUAGAAGGAGUUGCGAACGGGUGAGUAACGCGUAGGUAACCUGCCUACUAGCGGGGGAUAACUAUUGGAAACGAUAGCUAAUACCGCAUAACAGUGUUUAACACAUGUUAGAUGCUUGAAAGAUGCAAUUGCAUCACUAGUAGAUGGACCUGCGUUGUAUUAGCUAGUUGGUGGGGUAACGGCCCACCAAGGCGACGAUACAUAGCCGACCUGAGAGGGUGAUCGGCCACACUGGGACUGAGACACGGCCCAGACUCCUACGGGAGGCAGCAGUAGGGAAUCUUCGGCAAUGGGGGCAACCCUGACCGAGCAACGCCGCGUGAGUGAAGAAGGUUUUCGGAUCGUAAAGCUCUGUUGUAAGAGAAGAACGUGUGUGAGAGUG
rnacentral:rRNA from 1 species